UUUUUUCUCACAGAUCCUACAUUCCAGAACUCUUUGCCUCCCCUCUCUCUUCUCUCUCAUCCUACUUUCCAAAUCUCCAUCGCUGGAACUCCAUCUCCUCCCAUCUCACCUUCAAAAAUCCAGAAUCAACCUUUUCCCUUUGAACCACCAAGCCGUACCUCUCUUUUUAUUCUGAAAAAAUUCAAUCUCUGCGACAAUGGGAAGAAGGGAAAAACCCUAGGUUUCGGCACGGGGAUCGGAGGAAGCAGGCCGGGUCGGGUCGUGGAUGAGUGAGUCGAUGGGCGAGGGGAUUGGAGGUCUCCGAAUCGAGGAACCUAGCAUUGUUGAUGCUUCUUCUACAGUGGGAGCGGCGGCGACAAAGCUUGGAGAUGACGGUGAAGUCGAAGAGUAGGAGGAAGGCCGCAACGAGGACGACGAUGAGAGCAGCCAUGAGAGGGGAGAUGCCAUUAACAGAAAACAAUUCUCCAAACUGUGGCACAACGGAAAACCAAGAGAUUUAAAAGGCUUGUUCAUGUGUGGAAAACAAUGAAUGGUUGCCAUCAAGUUCAGAGUCAUAUCUCACAGCAGGUGCUUCUUCUGACCAGUCACAACGCAGAACCAGCAACAGAGAAUCACCAUGAAGCAGCAAUGCAGCUUGAGGGUGGGUUCAGCUUCUGGUAUACUCCAUUGAAUGAGGGUUAGUGCCAUUGGUUUUCUCCCAAGGUUUACGCUGACGCUGACAUUCAGGUUUAUCGGUCCCUCAUUUGUCUUUGAAUACGCUGACGCUGACGCUGCGUGCUACGUGUGUCAUGGGAAGUUGCUUAUCCAAGCAUGAUCUCAACUCUCAAAUUGAUUUGGUAAUUGAAAUUUUGAAGCGUCCAGGAGAAGUCCUCCCUGUUUGUCUUAGUGUCGCACGAACGCUGUAAAUUCAUAAUUUAGUGUGCUUCAAUUUUAAUUUCUCGGCUUUUUUUUUCUCGGUUCAAAUUUUUAUUUUUAUUUCAUAUUGUAAUUUGUUUGAUUUUGGUCUGACAAUGGAGUUUUUUUCAUCUGCUUGAAUGAUAUCUUGGGCCUCA